rnacentral:snoRNA from 1 species
AAGCUUAUUGACGGUCCAGUGCUGAUCAGAUACUACAACGUCAGCGCUAAACAUAUUCAUAAGCGACAUUAAUCCGUUGCUGCUGUGUAGCAAUAUCUUUCUUGGUCCAGUUACUUGGAUUUGGGAAGCUAUGCAUGGUAGCAUACACCUU